rnacentral:lncRNA from 10 species
AAGAACCCAGCCCCCAUAGUGUGAGGAGGCCUAGGACAGUUACAGAAGCCAUGUGUAGGUGUUCUGGCUCCAGCAAAAGUCUUAUCUGACAACAUCAACUACAUGUUAGUGGGCUUUCCUUGAAAUUGCUGGAGCUUGUGCAUCAUCAAAAUAAUGGCAUAAACCAAGGAAGAAGAAAACAAAAUUGAGGAAAUGGGAUCCAACACAAAAGAGAGACAACAGGAUUAAUUGAGUGUUGGUGAAAAGCCACAGCCUGUAAAUAAUGCAGUUCGAACUGAAAUAGACCAGGAGGCUCAAGGAGAGACUUCUUCAAGAAGAUAAAAUUGAUAGAAUGCCUAAGGAGUUUGAGUGCAUUGAGAAUAGAUUCAUAUCAGUUCUGGAGAACUGGGUGGAUACAUUAAUGUUAAGUACAUAGAAAAGUUAAAAAUGAAAAAAAUUCUCAAUUCUAGGGAAAAUAAUCAUAGUAAACUACAUGUUUUAGUUACCAAUAGUGUUUACGUAGUCAAUAUAAACAAUGGGCAUUGAUAUAAAUAAUGUAUGUUGAUCUGCUAUAACAAGGUAAAAUGCUAUUGGGGAUAUAACCUCAUCCUGGAGCAGGGCACCCUAUCGUCAGAUGGUAUCAUCUUUAAGGGGUUGUCUCAGCCAUGCCUUUAGAAUUACCUUUCAUUGCUUGUCAUGCUGGAAGCUUCUGAAUGUUGCAUUUUGUGAUAGAAACAGUGGGUACCAUGGUCAUGUGCUCACAUCUCCUUUGCGGUAAAGAAAAGGAUCACUCAUUAACAUCCACCAGAUAACAUUCUCCAUGAAAGCACC